rnacentral:rRNA from 1 species
CCUACGGGGGGCAGCAGUAGGGAAUCUUCCACAAUGGGCGAAAGCCUGAUGGAGCAACGCCGCGUGGGUGAAGAAGGUUUUCGGAUCGUAAAACCCUGUUGUUAGAGAAGAAAGUUCGUGAGAGUAACUGUUCACGUUUCGACGGUAUCUAACUAGAAAGCCACGGCUAACUACGUGCCAGCAGCCGCGGUAAUACGUAGGUGGCAAGCGUUGUCCGGAUUUAUUGGGCGUAAAGGGAACGCAGGCGGUCUUAUAAGUCUGAUGGGAAAGCCUUCGGCUUAACCGGAGAAGUGCAUUGGAAACUGUGAGACUUGAGGGCAGAAGAGGAGAGUGGAACUCCAUGUGUAGCGGUGAAAUGCGUAGAUAUAUGGAAGAACACCAGUGGCGAAGGCGGCUCUCUGGUCUGUAACUGACGCUGAGGUUCGAAAGCGUGGGUAGCAAACAGGAUUAGAUACCCCUGUAGUC